rnacentral:lncRNA from 1 species
GCAUUUAAUUCUACAUUAAUGGCCUCUUCCCAGCAUUUUUGAGUUACAGCUUCCUCAUAAGAUGAAGGUUCAGAUGCAUUUGAAACAGCCAAUGACAGUGCCUUGUGAGUGGAUGAGAGUUUAUGGUAUGAUAUGCAAUGUGAAAGAGGAUACAAGGAUGAUGAUGAUUGGGCAAUAGAAAGUUUAGAGGUUUGCAUGCACUAAAAAUCAGCUAGAUGGCGUGGUGGUUUGUGGAUCCUUGAGGACCUUCUGAGUGGAGUUAAUGCAGGAGGUUGUGAGAGAGCCUCCGUGU